AGAGAGAGAGACACAGCAAUCCUUAAGGAAAUUUAUUGCCCCCUUGAAGAAGUCGCCGGAAAUGCGAACCGAGGUAUAGCGCGAGUCUGCUAUUUUCAAGGAUCUUACGAGCUUGAACAAAAGCUAACUCGACUCGAAUUCUAAAGAAAUGCAUUCCAACGGAAACGGCAAUUCGACACGGCCUAUAAUGAAUCUAUCAAGUAUUUUCAGCGAACGUUCCCUUUUCUCUCCUGACUUUCAACUUUCCCACGCUUGAUCACCCACGUCGAAUGUUUUAACAAUGUACGUGGCGGUUCGUUGAUUCAAUACGUUAAUCCAUUUGAAUUCCGCUCCUAAUUGGAAUAUAAAUAUAUACUACAUGCGGUAGUGUUUAAGCUAUUCCGUGUUGUGGCGCUACAUGCCAUGAAGCUAAGUUCACGUGAUAGCGUAACACCUUCACCCUUAUACAAAAAGGUGUUUUGACACAACAGCUUUUUAGUUGAACAAUGAACCAUGAUAUUCUCUAUUGACGUAAGGCGAUUUGGAUUUUGAAGUUGACGCGAUACAUAUAUACAAAGUACGACGGUACUUAUGGUAAAUACAAGCGGUAACGCACGCAUGGCUUAGAAUUUACUUACUGACCCGCAAUGAAAUUUUCGAUGAGUUUUAAUAUACAUUGUAUGCCGGACAUAUAAUUAACAAGGGGCCUCGCCAAUCACAAUCAAAUUUUGAGGUUUUUGGUUCCUUGAGUUCUGUCCCGCCGUUGUCUGAGUGGUGAUGAUCUUUGUAAAGAGCUCAUCGAGGUGUUAUGCAAACGUUCAAGGCGUUUGGCCUUUCGAGAAUUACGAGGGUAUGUUAGCCUUUACACCAAAAAUUAACUCGUGGGGAGUAAAACCUGUGGCCUCGUGUACUGAGGUAUUAUAGGAAAAAAUGCAAAAUCUUAUCCAAUCAUCCCAAUCUGUUUUUGUGCAAUAAUGCUUAAGAAAUUUUUCAUGGUUUGGCUGAUGAAAUUCCUUCUUUGGUCAGUGUGAAUAACUCUUGGACAACCAAAUCUACUGAUGAACUGGUCAGCAAGGGCAUAUGCAACAGUUGCUGUGUCUAUACUACGUAAUGGAAUUGCAUCUGAAUACUUAGUGAGAUUAUCCUGUAGGGUGGAACAGGAUCGAACAAAUUCAAUGAUUUCUUUUGCCAUGCCUGGCCAAUAGAAACGUUCUUGGAUAAGCUGACGAAGUUUAAAGGAGCCUCGGUGGCCUCCAAUUACCGAUUCAUGAUGUUCUUUAAUGAUUUGGGGGCGUCUCGUCUCAAGCGGGAUUAUAAUGUCUUUACUGUACACUGUAAUUACAUAUAGUGGAUCAUUAAAAAUCUCCCUAAGCAGAUCCAAUAUGUUGUUUUGUUCGGAAGAAUUGAACCUAUCCGAGUCUAUUAAUAUACUGAAGGUUUUCGAAUUCAAAGAGUCUAGGGGGACUUUAAGUGAUUUUAACAAAGAUUUGAUAUGAUCAAGGUUAAAUUCGUCUUGGGGUUCGGUCUUAAAGAACAAGAAGAAAAUGGAAUAUUUGUCGUUUGAGAAAGCCAUAGCAUCACCAACAUUGGCCUGGUAUUGCUGUAUCUACUCCAUUGAAAAUUCAAUUUGGCCUAGUAGGCCCUCAGUGGUUUGAGAGGUGUCGCUGCGAUUUAAGGAGGUAAAGUGGGCGAGAUUAUCUCGCUGUACGAAGAGGUGAUCCUUUUUGUGAAAUAUAGUGGGGGAUAAGGGAGGAGAUGCCGUUGAUCUAUUUACGUCGAAAAUUUCCCGGCGAGGUCACUCCACUGGAUUCCCCUGUGCAGUCUUGGUCGCUAACAUUCAUACUUUCCCCUGCCAACCUCGAUUUCCUUGACCGAGGUGGCCUUCCACCCGGUUUCUUUGACCGGAUGGGAUUCAUGAUCUCGCCAACCUCGAUUCCCUUGACCGAGGUGGCCUUCCACCCGGUUCCCUUGACCGGAUGGGAUUUCCAUGCACACACGGGGUGCCCCUCUCCCCUGAGACGACACAAGAUGCACAUCGAGCACAGAUUCCCUCUUACAGCCCACGAAGCGGGUUCCUGAAGUUCGGAUUAUACACCCGUUACCAACGAUGGACUGAGUCGAGGAGACUCUGGGGUGCUCAAUUGGGGCGUUCCUUUAUGAAAUUCUCGCGAACUGUUCACUAAUGUAAAUGACUUUUCGGAUAUUUCUCGGACUCUAUUGGUGACCUCGUUUAAUUCUACCACUGUUUUCUUGGGCGCUAGGGAAAGUGCGUCGGCGUUUGCAUUAACUUUUCCAGGCUUGUAUAUUAUGUUAUAAUCAUAUUCAUUUAACCUGAUUCGCCAUCUCAUUAUUUUAGAAGUGGGAUCUUUGACAUUAUGUAGCCAUACUAGAGGUCGGUGGUCAGUGACCAAUGUAAAUUGUCGGCCGUACAGCCUCGUUCAAGGUUCUAGAGGCGUAUGCGAUAGGGAGAUCCUUUCCUACUGGUCUCUGGCUCAAGAUGGCACUUACCGCAAAGUCGGAGGCGUCGGUGGUAACGAGAAAUGGUUGUGAAAAGUUGGGAAAUUGCAGCAGGGGUUCCGAACAAAUAGCGUCUCUUAAAAUUUCGAAAGAAGUUUGGACAUCCGCGGUCCAACGAAAAGGAACGCGACUCCUACAAUUCCGGCUUCCUUAAUUGGAAAGUCGUUAUCGACCAGCUGAAAAUGUAUGGGGGUGUUGCAAAUGAAGAUGAUUACUUCGCCUCGCGUUUGAACCGUUCCUGAACCAAUG